UUGUGUUUCAUCGUGGAACAGACAUCCUUCCUCUCAGAGGAUGAAGGGACUGUCAGAGGCCUUCAGGAGAUGAUGCCUCUAAACCCCAGGAGGAAAACACACAAAGAAUGAUAAAGCAAUCCCUCUUGCCUCUGACCUUCAACUAGCAAGAGCUCCGGCUCGCACAGCUGCAACAGUCAGUGAUGGAGCAAUCACAUGAUUUCAGCGGGAAAAACAGUCUCUGGACAGAACAGACAAAACAGUAUCUGGAAUCAGAGACUGUCUGGCUUGAGCCACAGACUUUCUGGUCUCCAUGUCUGAGUCCCUGGAGAGAAAAGCCAUCGGAGGCUGGUGGGACCGGGGAUGAGCUGGACAAGAAGCUCAGGCAGCACAGGUUCAUAUCAGGCUGGCCGACUGAACAGGUUCUGCCUCAGGAUCAAAAACAGUUUUCAAUUCUAACGAGGAGCUCCUAUUUCCUGAGUGCGGAGGACCAGGCACUUUACAGGUGGUGUCAAAUUUAAUCAUCACAACACUCUAAGAGGAGUGGGUCCUUAUCUUCCUUAAGUGCCUCUGAGGAGCACGCAAGGAUCCGGAGCUUGGCUAGCGUUCCACACCUUUUACAAAGCCCUGUGCGUUGUCUCCUGGCCCUACCAAACCCUAAAGGACACAGGACUCUCCUGGGAUCUUAGGGAAACCAAGUUCUGAAUCACUAGGUCCAGGAGAAGGCCCGAGAUGCCGCAUCUCUAACAGUCUUCUAGGAGAUGCUACAGAUCCGGGGACUUUAACUGCAAGGCUAAGACCAGAGGUCUCCCACCUUGGCCGCACCCUGGAAUCAACUGGGAGCUUUCGAAAUGCUGACACCUGGGCCUCAUCCAAGAGAUUCGGAUCUGAUAGAGGACAGCUCUGCACAGGAUUGCGGAAACUCCCGGAUCUCUCCACGACAGUUGUUCAAAGUCCGUUCUAACGUUAAUGGUGAAGAGAGACCUGGCAACAAAUGAAGAGAUUUAGAAGUAUCAUCAGUCUAAGUCGUGUGCCCUUUUAACUGGUGGUUAAAAAAAAAAAAAAAAAAAAAAGUAUGCCUACGCCCUCUGGUGGAGAUCAGAGUUAUUGCAAACCACUGGUAAAUGGCGUCAGAGCCUUGGUAGUUCAUGAACUGAAUAUGCAGAAAUAUAACAACUAUUACAUAAAGGUCACUGAAAUAGAAAAAUGGAUUCCUCAUACUGGGAAAGGUUGGGAAUCAAUGAGGUAGAUGUCUUUGCCUCAGACUAUCAGAGGGGCGGUCACAAACAAUAUUUGCAGGUUCUGCUUCAGAUGUGGUUUGUUUUUUUCUUUGAUUUUUAAAGUGUGUAUGAUUGUACUUGGUCAUAUCACAGUUUCUAAGUUUACUUGUGGGUGUGUUCGCGUGUCUGUUAUCCCGCUAGGUUGUCAGGUCCUCAAGGGGGAAACACUUGAACCCCUAAUUUAAGGCUCUGGAUAUUCUGGGCACUUGAAUAAAUAUUAUUGAUUGCUGGGGGAAAAAUGGGUUAAGAGCACAAAA